GGCUCAGUGGUCCAAUGGUAAAGCGCUCGUCGCGAUGCCAGAGUGUCCUGGGUUCGAUUUCCGACAUGGUCA
rnacentral:tRNA from 1 species